AGUGGGGGAUAACGUAGCGAAAGUUACGCUAAUACCGCAUAUGCCCUGAGGGGGAAAGGAGGGGAUCGUAAGACCUUUCGCUUUCGGAGUGGCCGAUAUCAGAUUAGCUAGUUGGUGAGGUAAAGGCUCACCAAGGCGACGAUCUGUAGCGGGUCUGAGAGGAUGAUCCGCCACACUGGGACUGAGACACGGCCCAGACUCCUACGGGAGGCAGCAGUGGGGAAUUUUGGACAAUGGGGGCAACCCUGAUCCAGCCAUGCCGCGUGAGUGAAGAAGGCCUUCGGGUUGUAAAGCUCUUUCGGACGGAAAGAAAUCCUAUUCGCUAAUACCGGGUGGGGAUGACGGUACCGUAAGAAGAAGCACCGGCUAACUACGUGCCAGCAGCCGCGGUAAUACGUAGGGUGCGAGCGUUAAUCGGAAUUACUGGGCGUAAAGCGUGCGCAGGCGGUUUUGUAAGACAGACGUGAAAUCCCCGGGCUUAACCUGGGAACUGCGUUUGUGACUGCAAGGCUAGAGUGUGGCAGAGGGGGGUAGAAUUCCA
rnacentral:rRNA from 1 species